rnacentral:tRNA from 1 species
AGUUAAUGAACUUGUUAAGUAUGUAUUUUGAAAAUACAAUAAAGGUAUGAUACCUAUUAACUU